ensembl:lncRNA
UGAAUACAGUUUCCAUGGAGCUUGCAACAAAAGAAGGAAAACAUCUUUGAUGUGUUUUCUUGGUGGAAGAUUUUUGUUCAGAUCACUCAGGCGGCUAAACAGAAAGCACCCUGUGCCCACAGGAGAACAGUCUGGAUGAAGGGUGUCCCGCCAAGUUAGAGCUCAGACUGCAUUUCCCUGUGCCACCUAGAAAUCAACAGAGGAGUGACUGAGAGCCAUUUCAGCCAAGAUGAUCCAGGUGCCAGUAUGUGACUUGAAACCCUUUCGUGUUGUCUUUGUUCCCUGUUGCUCCUGAGCUAGCGUAAGCACGGUUAUUCUGCACAACAG